GUAUAAACAUUUGUAAAUGAGUCAAAAAAGGCGGGAUCAUGUUCGUCAAUUAAACCACUGUCGUAGAAGUUGUCACCGGUAGAAACAAUGAAGUCGACAUCCAUUUUCUCCCCCACUUUGCCCAUCUGGAAAUUCCUCUGCGACCCCAGUCUCCGAUAGCCAAAAAGCUGAGAGAUCCGUUGGCUUUCACCGGAUGUUUGAAGCGAAGAAGAUCAGCCGCCACCAUAACCGUCAUUGCUACCAUAUAUAGUAGCAGAUGAACGGCUAGAGACUUGAUCAUAGCCAUGGCUUGUUAGGCUAGGAGAGGAAGUUAGAGAC
rnacentral:lncRNA from 1 species